AUUGAACGCUGGCGGCAUGCCUAACACAUGCAAGUCGAGCGGAGCGGCGGACGGGUGAGUAAUGCCUAGGAAUCUGCCUGGUAGUGGGGGAUAACGUCAGGAAACGGGCGCUAAUACCGCAUACUAUUAGAUGAGCCUAGGUCGGAUUAGCUAGUUGGUGGGGUAAAGGCCGACCAAGGCGACGAUCCGUAACUGGUCUGAGAGGAGGAACAGUAACACGGGAACUGAGACAAGGUCAAGACUCCUGCGGGAGGCAGCAGUGGGGAAUAUUGGAAAUUGGGGGAAAGCCUGACCCAGCUAUGCCGCUGGUGUGAAGAAGGUCUUAGGAUUUUAAAGCCCUUUAAGUUGGGAGGCGGUACCAAAAGAAGAAGCACCGGCUAACUUCGUGCCAGCAGCCGCGGUAAUUC
rnacentral:rRNA from 1 species